GUCGAGCGCGCGUGCGCGCGGAGGAGCUCGGCGGCCUGGGCAGUUCUCCGCGCGCUUUGGCCUCGCGCCGGGGCCGCCGCCCCUCCCCCACCCGGCUCGCUGGCUCCCUCACCCUCUCACCCGCCGCCUCCGCCCGCCGCCUCCGAGGGGGAGAGGUCUUGCCGCCGCCGCUGCUCGAGCUCCCGAGUCCCUCGGGCCUGGGGCCGCCGCCUCGCCUCGCCGGUCCGCCCGCCUCAGCCGACGCCGACGCCUCCUCGCUUCCUCAGGGGCCGCAACGGGCUCCAACUGCGCCACUCGCACCCCGCCUGGGCCGCGCUGCACGUCAGCACGACUAACUGCGUGCGUCAGCACGCAAACGCGCGUCGCGGGGCCUGCCGGGAACUGGAGUGCGCCCCGCGGCCUUUUGCGCAGGCGCCGAAGCCACACCGCGAAGUACCGUUUUUUCAGGCACAAGGAAGGUUUCACCCCGUUGCCGAAAGACUAAGCGUCCCGUUGGCCAGUGCAACGAAGAACGGAGGAAGCGACGUAAGACACCGCGUAUUCGUAGGCCUUCCGCUGCGGGGAGGAGCACAGGGCCUAGCGGCAGCAAAGCGACGCCCGAGCGCGUCUCGUCUCCCGCUGUCGAUGCAGAGCAUUCUGGGAGUUGUGGUUCGGGCGUGUCGCGGAGCCCGGAUGUAAUUUCGGCUCGGGGCGUGGCGGCCAUUUUGUCUCCCCAUGUUGGGAGACGAUAUCCCAGCCGCGGUGGUGCUGCCGCUUUCGUGUGACUUUGGGUUUCCCGAGCGAGCCCGCAGCUGCACAGCAGUCCGCCUUCCCGUACCCGAGAGAAGCCGCCUCAGACCCCAGCCAGCGGGCACCCCCGGAGGCCCCGAGCCUGGCUGCAGGCCCUAGACCUGCACCAGGGGCCCAACCAGUUACCCGUAGCAUGGGCCACGUUCUCCCGCUGUAGACCGGGCUGAGGCCCGACGGCCACCCCUGGGGGAGGAGUUUUCUUAGCUUCCGGUAGGGCAGCCAGGCCGGGGUCCCACCAGACCCAGGACGUGAUACCGGUGAAGCGGCACAUACAGGAACAAGGCAGGAGGAAAAUAAUAAGCACCUUAAAGUUUCCACUUUUCGAAGAUUUCAGUUUGUAAGUAGUGAGAGCAAUGAUCUUGGCUUUGCAUGGUGCUCAGGAAGCCUUCCCCGCUCCCAAACCAGAAAGGAAUCCAUCCAGAUUUUCCUCCACUGUCUGGAUGGCCGCUCUGUGGAUGCUUCCAUCUGUAUCCAUUGCCGGCACCUGGUGAGGUCCAAGUCUCACCUCCUCCAGAAGGCCUCCCAGGACUGCUGGCCCCAGACACAGAACUCCCAAGGGAAGGCUCUUCCACUAAAAGUCCAGCUGCAGCGAUAAUGAUGAGUUUGGAGAGGGCUGCAGACCCUGAGGCAGGGGUUGGUGCAGGGGCUGGACCUGAAACUGGGUUCACACAACAAGCUCGGACUCCUCUUAACACUCCUGAUUGGUGACAUUAUGGGGUCUUGGAUGCCUCCUCCUCUCUGUCCCUCGUACUGCCCCUGCCACCUGGGACUCCACCAAGUUCCUUCUCCACCAGCCAUGAGGAGAGCCUGCCCAGGGGCCAGCACUCUCUCCCUGAGCCUUAGAACCAGGAGGAUUCUCACUGCUUCUAUGUCACAGUAGGUAAAAAACACAUAAAAUAAAAUGAAAUAUCAUGAUCACCUGAGAAGAAAGUUCAGAGUAGGCCCGUAUCACGUGUUUCCAGAGAAUCCACAGCUUCCCUAUGAAGCCAUUGCUGGCAUAGGGAAGGGUGGGGCCAGGAAACAGCCGCUAUCCAGCCCCUCCAGGUUGACUCAAGUCAGAGUGUGUGGGGGCCAGUCAUGGAACAGAGGGAGCCUCCUGCCCAGGGCAAGCGUGGGGAGACCACCAGGGGCCCCAGACAGGUGAGCCGCUCCAGCAGGGACAGCACAGGUGGUGCAUGGUCGGGGCUGGACAUCGGGGUUAGUCGGCAAGGAUGAGGAGUCUCUGGGGAUGGAGGCUGAGGCUUGGGGUUCUCAGGCAAGGGCAGGCCUAGGUGCAGCAGAGAAUUGUUUGGAGGGAGGAAAUCAAGCUUUCCUUCUAGAAAGGGUGACAGGGACCAAAGGGAGAGGGCAGGGACAGCCCCUGGAAAGGGCAGGUGAGGAAGGUGAGGCUGGAGGGGACCCAAGAAGGGAUCCUGGGGAGGUAGUGGCCAAGAGCAGGGUGAGGGCCAGGCCGCACCUUUCGCUGUACCCAGCUCUCCCUGGGGUGGCCCUGGCCCUGCUCUGCUGUCCCCUGCAGGACAGGUGCCUCAGGCUUGUCCCAGCUUGUCCUACAGCAGGUCCUCAGCACCCACAGGUCCUGCCUUGGGCUCUGCAGAAGCAGGGAGUGGUGAGGUCAGGACCCUGGGCCACAGAAGAAAUGGUCUGGGGGACAAGGACGGGGGUUGGGGGACUGACAGCUGUUUUCUGAAGGCCCGGGGAGUGGAGGAGAGGGGUGAGGGGCCAAGGCUUGGGGCUCAGUAUGGGGGCAGCUGCAGGGGGUGAGGGGGCCAGUGGGGCCAGUGAAGAGGGCCUAGGGUCUGGUAUCUGCAGCAGGCACUCACAGAGGACAGACUGUUUGCAAGGUAGGUCAGGUGACAGGGAGCCAGGGGGGCUGAGGAGGCUCAGGGCCUGACUCCAGGGAGAGCAGUUGCCAUCCCCCAGGUCCAGAGGGGCCCUGGGAGGAGUCCAGGCAGGGCUGAAGCUGGAAGAAGUAAGAGGGGCUGGCACUCAAGGACUGCAGCCACUGGCCAGGUGGGGCCAGGUCGGACCGGCUGCCUUCCCUGGUCUCAGCCCCAGCCUUCUGUGGCUGCCUCCCCCAUCGGAGCCAUCAGAGAGCAGGAUGUGGGAGGGGCAGGUGAAGGACAGCCUCUGUGAUAGUCCCUGGUGUGCUGCAGCCUGGGGUGAGGGGCCUUGGGGAUGGGAAGGGCUGGGAGCUGGGAGACGAUGGCUCCCAGCACUUGGUCCUGAGGGGCCUUGGAGCAGCUUCCCCCAGGCCUGCAGAGGCAACUUCUGACACUCGGGGAGCUGAGGCCAAGGGAAGGCUCCCCAGACACAAGGAGAAGGGGCUGGGGGCAGCCAGAAGGCUUUGGGCUACCCUCCCUGGAGGCUCAGGUCCCAGGUGACCCCUCCAGCUGUGUUCCUUCCAAGAUUGGGACCUGCAAAGAUUGCAGAUGUGAGGAAAGGAAGGUGUCUUGGGCAUUCUUCCCAGUGUGGCUGAGCUGUGCCUGUGAGGACAUGCAGACACUCAGAGGACCUGUCCUCAGGGGCCCCAGGGUGAAGGUCAAGAUCUCACCUUACAACCAGCCGGGCCCUGACUACUUCCAGCCACCAGGCCCCCAGGACAGGAGCAGGACAGUGGUUAUUUCCCCAGUGGACGGGGGGCUCCAGGUCACAUAAGAAUAACAUGCCCUGUGACAAGGCGUGGGGAUGAAAAUGCUUCCCCCUGGGCUGAGAUUCCAGGACACCUGAGAUGGGGGGACCCCGGCCACAUGUUUAGAGCUCUCAGGGAACCUGGAGGGCCCCUCAGCCUCUGUUCCCCUACUGGGGAGAACAGAGGCCUGGUGGUAGCAAUUUCAGGGAACUCAGAGAAACACUGUUCCCCAGACCUUGGAGCUCCCUCUGUGCCUGGCUCUCACUGUGAGGCCCCCCACCAGCUGGUCCUGCUCAGGGAGCCUCCACGUGUCCCCCUGGUUCCUCCGGCCAGCCUAGGGGUGGAGGGUGCGGUCCCCAUGGCCUGUAGGAAGUAGGGCUCAGAGGGGCAAAGUCACCGCCCUGAGGUCACCAGGAGGUCCCGGCAGAGGGGGUUGGGGCCUGGCUCAGGGCCUGUUCUCCCUGCUGAGCUCAGUGGGAUGGGGCCAUCUCAAGGGUCCCACUGUUUUUCUCUGGUCUCUGCCCCAGCAUGUGGUGGGACCUUGAUUUCCAUACUCUCAUGUCACCAGUCUGUUGGGGGGCAGAGGUUAUGGGGUCACUGAUAUCACCUGGCUCAUUCCUCCCCCAUCCAGGCUGUCCCAUGAGAAUGUCUAAUCUGUAUGUCAUCGGAGUCAAUAAUGUGUUUUGCUAUCGCUCUGGUUCCAGGGAUAUUGCUCAGCCAAAGGGCCAGCAUCCCAGUGAAGAAGAUCAGAAAGAGGCUUCCGAUUCCGUCUCUAGAGCCUUUGAGGUCACUCCUGACGCUGACAUGGCUGUGAAGAGCUGGGUGCCAGGCAUUACUGCCUCCAAGGUUGCUUUGCGAGGAAUAGGUGGGGCAUCAGGAAGAAGCCAGUUGCAGGCAAGGCCUCUGCUGAUGCUGCUUUUUUCUCCUGUACCCAUCCAUGGGAGGGAGCUGUGAGAUGGCCUGGCAGAACCCGCUCUUGGACCCCACAGAAUGAGAGGCUCACCCUGCACAGGAACAUCCUGGGGCAGCAGGCUCAGCACAUUUUAAAUUUUGAGUAUGAACAAAGUAAACUUCAGGGUUAAAAAAAAACACAAA
rnacentral:lncRNA from 1 species